GAUGAACGCUAGCGGCAGGCCUAACACAUGCAAGUCGAGGGGCAGCACAUAAAGUGGUUUACUACUUUUGGUGGCGACCGGCGGACGGGUGCGUAACGCGUAUGCAACCUGCCUCCAACAGGGGGAUAACGGAGAGAAAUUUCCACUAAUACCCCAUAAUAUCAGAAUCGGCAUCGGUUUUGGUUGAAAACUCCGGUGGUUGGAGGUGGGCAUGCGUUGUAUUAGAUAGUUGGUGAGGUAACGGCUCACAAAGUCAACGAUACAUAGGGGGACUGAGAGGUUAGCCCCCCACACUGGUACUGAGACACGGACCAGACUCCUACGGGAGGCAGCAGUGAGGAAUAUUGGUCAAUGGGGGCAACCCUGAACCAGCCAUGCCGCGUGCAGGAAGACGGCUCUAUGAGUUGUAAACUGCUUUUACAAGGGGAUAAAUCGGUGUACGUGUACACCGUUGAAGGUACCUUGGGAAUAAGGAUCGGCUAUCUCCGUGCCAGCCGCCGCGGUAA
rnacentral:rRNA from 1 species